rnacentral:rRNA from 1 species
UACGGAGGAUGCGAGCGUUAUCCGGAUUUAUUGGGUUUAAAGGGUGCGUAGGCGGACUGUCAAGUCAGCGGUAAAAUUGAGAGGCUCAACCUCUUCCCGCCGUUGAAACUGGUGGUCUUGAGUGGAUGAAAAGUACGCGGAAUGCGUGGUGUAGCGGUGAAAUGCAUAGAUAUCACGCAGAACUCCGAUUGCGAAGGCAGCGUACCGGCAUCCAACUGACGCUGAGGCACGAAAGCGUGGGGAUCAAACAGG